CAAUUAAAGUUAUCAUUAUUCAGGGCGGAAGGGUUUAACGCUUCCAAUCCCUGCCCGUGUGCUGGCGGUCUCUCCCUGUCUUCUCCCUGAACAUCUCCCGAAUCCGGGCACGUUUUCUCAGUUGCUCGUCCCGGUUCUGCUCACGGAACCGGGAAGCCAUUCCCAGUAUUUCGUCCAUCUGCUCGCGUGAAAGCCCCUUAAAAGGCUCUGUAACGCUCUGUAGGCGUUUCUGCUGCGAAUCCAUAGUCUUCUGUGAGUGGACGCAUCACUGGUGUUCGGGUUGUCAUGCCAAUGGCACUGCCCGGUAGCUAAAUGCGGAAGAGAUAAGUGCUGAAAGCAUCUAAGCACGAAACUUGCCCCGAGAUGAGUUCUCCCUGAGACUUUAAGUCUCCUGAAGGAACGUUGAAGACGACGACGUUGAUAGGUCGGGUGUGUAAGCGCAGCGAUGCGUUGAGCUAACCGAUACUAAUGAACCGUGAGGCUUAACCUU
rnacentral:rRNA from 1 species